rnacentral:tRNA from 1 species
GUGGACGUGGCUGAGGGGUCCAAAGCACCCGGCUGCAACCCGGGUUUUCGUGAGUUCGAAUCUCACCGUCCACUCCA